CGCUGCAGCUCGUCUUUCAUCUCUCAACUCGUCGUCCGUUGUCUCUUUAAGUCUCAGGCCAGCCGCUGCUCCUGGCUCCUCGCCGAGUGCUCGCGACUCGAAAGUCCAAGGCACAAUUCUUUAGUUGGAAGACUAUAUAAUGCCGCUGGGACUGUUAUUAGGUUUAGGGAGAUCUUUCAGAAGAAAGCGUACUUCAUCUCUUGAUAUUCUUACAACAAAAAAGGUUCCUCGGGGCUUCUACAAGGGAAAAAAUUGCAAGCCUACUGGUUUUCACACUCGCAAAGGUGGUUAUGUUAUUGUGCAAGAGAAGCUGCCUAACUACGUAGUUCCAGAUUUGACCGACUUCAAGCUGAAGCCAUAUGUAUCCCAAUGCCCAAUAGGAACUACAAGUGCAAGUACGGAGGCAAACAAAUCAGCAAAAUAAGAAAGAAAGGAGAAAAAUGAUGAACACUUCUCUCCCUCUUCAAUGAUAUUUAGGUUUUCUCUGUGUUCAUUUUCUAGCUUUAUAUGAAAUCAACGACUUGUUUGAUCCAUUCUUGCACACCUCUACAACGUCUACUUUUGUUGGGAUAAAAAAGUUGUCUUUUUCCUUUUUAGGUACUCGUCUUUUUCAUCUAAACAUGUCAUGGGUGACAUGAUCACUCUUGUUUGAU
rnacentral:misc_RNA from 1 species